ensembl:lncRNA
AUGUUAUUCAUGUGUUGUGUUAUAAACUCAGUCAAAGAGAACGAGACCUGUGAUUAUGAUACUGAUACUGAUUUUUCUCCAUCAUUCCUGAACAGAAAGCAGCCGGGCCAUCUAUUGAUGUCUGCUUACUCCCCCAUCUGUGUGGCUCUUCUGUCCUUCCUCUUCACUCCAGCUCUUGGUCAACUGGACCUGAACAGACUGGAUGGCGAUUCUGUCUGCCCGCCAAUAAGAAGUGGCCAAGAUGACCUUCCAGGUAAAAUACUUAGUGGGACACUCUUUGAAAAUAUACAACAGGAGCUUUAAAACAACAAAUCCAAGUCUAGAAAAUCCCUAAAAGAGAAAAGGAAGGCGGUGAGUUUAAUUGGAGGAACAGGGUGGGCUGCCUAAUGCCUCAAGAUUUCAAAUGAGGCAAAUAAAAUGUUCCACUUGAGUUUAACAAAAUUGUAGAACAAUACAAACUCAGCAGCUUGUAACCGCUCGGCACUGCUGCUCUGUUUACUCCUACACAUCUGCUCACACGCUGCUCUGUGGUUUUAAGUUGUUUACAAUAAAGUAAAAAGCAUCU